GAACGAACGCUGGCGGCGUGGAUAAGACAUGCAAGUCGAACGCUAAUUUCGGGGUAGCAAUAUUCCGGAGUUGGAGUGGCGAAAGGGUGCGUAACAUGUGGGUAAUCUGCCGUGAAGUUUGGGAUAACUUGCUGAAAGGCGAGCUAAUACCGGAUGUAAUCGUUAGGAGGUAUCUCUUGGCGAUUAAAGUUGGGGACCGUAAGGCCUGACGCUUCACGAUGAGCCCGCAUCCUAUCAGCUAGUUGGUGAGGUAACGGCUCACCAAGGCUAAGACGGGUAGCUGGUCUGAGAGGACGACCAGCCACACUGGAACUGAGACACGGCCCAGACUCCUACGGGAGGCAGCAGUAGGGAAUUUUCCACAAUGGGCGAAAGCCUGAUGGAGCAACGCCGCGUGCAGGAUGAAUGCCUUCGGGUUGUAAACUGCUUUUAUAUGUGACGAUUAUGACGGUAGCAUAUGAAUAAGGACCUGCUAACUACGUGCCAGCAGCCGCGGUCAUACGUAGGGUCCAAGCGUUAUCCGGAAUUACUGGGCGUAAAGAGUUGCGUAGGUGGCAUGUAAAGCAGAUAGUGAAAGCGUGUGGCUCAACCAUACAUCCAUUAUCUGAACUCACAAGCUAGAGGACGAGAGAGGUAGAUGGAAUUCCUAAUGUAGGGGUAAUAUCCGUAGAUAUUAGGAGGAACACCGAUGGCGUAGGCAGUCUACUGGCUCGUUUCUGACACUAAGGCACGAAAGCGUGGGGAGCAAACAGGAUUAGAUACCCUGGUAGUCCACGCCGUAAACUAUGGAUGCUAGCUGUUAUCAGUAUCGACCCUGGUAGUAGCGAAGCUAACGCGUUAAGCAUCCCGCCUGUGGAGUACGGUCGCAAGACUAAAACAUAAAGGAAUUGACGGGGACCCGCACAAGCGGUGGAGCGUGUUGUUUAAUUCGAUGGUAAGCGAAGAACCUUACCCAGGCUUGACAUCCUUGGAAUUUCUCCGAAAGGAGAGAGUGCCUUUGGAACCAAGUGACAGGUGAUGCAUGGCCGUCGUCAGCUCGUGUCGUGAGAUGUUUGGUUAAGUCCAUCAACGAGCGCAACCCAUAUAGUUAGUUGUAUUUUUCUAGCUAGACUGCCCUGGUAACAGGGAGGAAGGAGGGGAUGAUGUCAGGUCAGUAUUUCCCUUACGUCUGGGGCUACAAACACGCUACAAUGGCCGGUACAAAGGGCAGCCAAGUCGCAAGACGGAGCAAAUCCCAUCAAAGCCGGUCUCAGUUCGGAUAGCAGGCUGAAACUCGCCUGCUUGAAGUCGGAAUCGCUAGUAACGGUGAGUCAGCACAUCACCGGAAUACGUUCCCGG
rnacentral:rRNA from 1 species